UUUUUUUGUGAAUUGAUUUAGUUGCGUCGAUAAUAGUAAAUGCCUUCCAUUGAAAAUGGGAAGUGGUGAAAAAUACUGUGAAAUAAUUGUAGGGAGAGUUGGAAAAUACUGGAAUAUUCAGUUAUGCAAAUGAAGAAAAACCAGUGUGAAUAGUUCUCCCCCUCCUGAAGGUCCUCCUUCUUGUGCGAGUGAUGUCUGGGAGUAAGUUCUUAUGUUAUCAUGAAUAGGAAUUGAACUCAUAUUUUUUGGUUCAGUUCACUAUCCCAAAUCAUAACGGACAGCUGGAGUGAUAACACGAAAAAACAAGCUGUUGCUUCAUCAAGUACACCACAAGGUAGAAUUAGUCCCACCGAAUUAUCACAAUCAAAUAGAAUUAUUUUGGAAAUCACAGACAUUGAUGAAGUGGGCGAAGAAGUCACCAGACUAGUUCAAGAACAAGAAAAAGAU